UCUCGAGGCUCUAGGGGAGAAGCCAUAUCCUUGCCUUUUCCACUUCUAGUGGCCGCCCGUAUGCUUUGGCUCACGGCCCCUUCCUCCACCUUCAAAGGGCGUCCUUCUGCUUCCAACAUGACACUGAGUUCUCCUCCCCUGCAGUCAAAUCCCUCUCUGCCUCCCUCUUAUAAGGACACUUGAAAUUACCUUUAGUGUGUGUUUGGGUAAGCCAGGACCAUCUCCCCGUCUCAGGAUCCUUAACUUAACCUCACCUGCUAAGUCCCUUUUGCCACAUAAGGUGGCAUUUAUUAGUUCCAGGCAUGGGGACAUGGAUAUUUUGGGGGCCAUUAUUCAGCCUACCACAGUGGGUUAGAAAGUUUCCAGAGAAGGACAGGUGUACAUACAAUCCCAAAGAUACCCAGAGAUACCCAGAGAUACCCGCUACUGUAAUACCAACUGAUGACAUCGAGUGAUUGCUGUGCCCCGUGCAUUUGUUAAACACUUACAUGCCUUAAUUCAUUUAAUCUGUAGUGCUGCUUUAAGAGUGGAUGUUAUUGUCAUCUCAAUUUUUCAAAUAAAGAAAUUAAGACUCAACAGAUUACCAAUAGAAACCUCAGGAGACAAGGGACGCAGUCACACACCAGUUAGUAGCGGAUUUGGGAUUUAAUUCCAAGGCUGACUGACUUCAAGGCCUGAGUCACCAGGCUUUUUACUGCUGGGCCAUGCUUCCCCAAGCCGACCUGUACCGGUCCCGGGUUCCUUGACAUAUGGAGGCCCAUGGACACUGUGAGGUUUGUUAAGGCAAAUUCUAAAGCCGGCAAAGUUUGUUUUCAACCUUCUUCAUGGCAUUUUGUCGUCUCUGACGGCCUGUCCUCAGUACUUCCGGCUUCUCCUUGGUAAAUUCAAUCCGUGCUCCAGAUUUCCCUUCCCCAAAUAAAAACACAUGCUGCAGACCCAUCCCGCUCAGUGAAGGGGACCAUAUAAUUUAUUGUCCAAACCUCAGCAGUGGUGAAGUGGGAACCUAUGACAGAUAACGUCGGCAUAGCACACCCAUAAACUGGCCGGAUUACAUGUUCUGUGACGUGUGUCCUCAGGGCUCCAUGUGCAGACAGCUUAUUGAAAGCAAGGAGUAAAUAAGACAGUGUAAGGUGUUAAUAGAUAGUAAUGGCUUCUUAUCCCUCUCAGGGUAUGUAUUAGUAUUCUGAAAGAGAUUUCUGGAAGCACAAUGAUUUAACUCCAACAGGAAAAAUCACAAAUGGUAGUAUUUUCAUUAUUGAGAGAGCCUGGGGGCAGGGUGUAUGAUUGGGGUGGAGGAAUGAGGGAGCAGGGACGAGAAGGAAAGAAGAAUGUUUUAGGUGGAAGGCUUUCUAGACUCCCCAUAAAAAAGUCCACAUCAGUAGAGAUAGAAACCACCUCCAUGUGUUUCAAAGGCCAGCCUUAGGUCUUCCCACCUUUGCUGUUGACUGUCUGAUGGACUUAACCACAAAUCAUCACGGAUCUCAGCAGUGGACCAGUGGGGAAGGGCAGAAAGGAGGAACCUGAUGGAGGUCAGGGUCUGGGAAACUAAUGCACCUGUAAGCUGGAGUCAACAAGGUUCCCCGGAUCCAAAAGAUGUUGACAGCUCUGGGCUGGGUCCAAGAACACUCAGUCUGUUAGAUAGAGCCCAGGAGCAGAUGAGGUUCUCACAAAGCAUCCCGACCUGACAUAAUUUUCCAGACUGUGAUAAGAUUCUAACUGAUAGGUGAGGAUAUUUGGAUAAGAGUUUUGGGCUUCCUGGAAUGAGCUAGAAAAGGCUGAGCAAAGUAUCCAAGUUUCAGCCUAGUCAACAGGAUUCAGGGCUGUUCUCUAAUCUUCUCUUAGAGAACUAGGAGACAAUCAAAAACUUGGGCAGAAGCCUAGAACAUAGAUUGGGCAAACAAGGCUGGAGUAUGGAGGAAAAUCGCAAAUUGGUGGUCAAACAAGGGCUGUUUGACCGGCCGUCAAGCUUAGAGCAUCACCCUUUACAGCGGCGCGGGCGGGUCCCCCAGCAUCCCCCUCCCACAGCACAGGGGGUUCCUCAGUGCCCAGUGUGGCACUUGUAGGGGAGGAAAAAUAAUCUUCUUUCUACUUCUGAGCUCUUGGUUGAGACCCCUGUAGUCAAAGACAGAUGAACAAGAGAAAUAGGAAGUUUAUUAACAGUGCCCCACACAUCAUGUGGGAGAAACCGAAACCGAAAGUAACUCAAAAUGGUGGCUUAGAAUUCCAGCUCGAUAGCAUCUUCAACAAAGGAGAAGCAGCGCGUAGAGAAACGACAGGACAAAGGAAAGCAACGUUAGGCUUCCAAGCAACAAAUGAGAGUUCCUGUCGCUCCACAUCAUCACCAGCAUUUGGUGUUGUCAGUGUUCUGGAUUUUGGCCAUUCUAAUAGGGUUGAUUUCUCUUGCUUGGAACUAAGAAUUUUGACUGACCAAUUUCCCGAAGACUCAGGCUCCACUGGCCCCCAAGAAACAGGUGAACUUUCAGGCAUUUGUGUUUACAGGAGUUUUGCUACAAAUAUUUGUGGAAACCAAAAUAACAUGGAUGGCCAUCUGAGACUGGACACCAGGCGGUUUAUAUCAGUGAGUUAACCCAUGAGACUGGCAGCAGAGGAGAAUAACCAGAAUACAAAGGAUGCUGGAUUUAGAAGAACAAUCUUCAGUGUGAAAAUCGCUCAGCACCAGCCCCUCCUCUGAGGCAGUGCACGGAAUUUGACAUGUUGUUUGGAUGGAGAGACAGCAUUUUGGACACGAGGACAAGGAUGGCAGUCUAGAACGCCGGGAGCAGCGGGAAGCACCGGGAAGCUGGCAAACCAACCUCGGAUGGAUGGCCUCCCUCGUAAGACAGACAAAACUGAAACUUCCAUCGGCUUUAAGCCAUUGCUUUUUGGGGGUUUCUGUUACAGGCGCUGAAGUUAAUCCUAAAUGUUAUAGCAAUUAAUGGAAAGAAAAAUAACACCCCAUCUUCACGUUUAAGCUUUUAUGGCAUUGCUGCCCUGUCCAAAAUAAGACUCAAGCCACCAAGUUAAAACACGAUUAUGCACAGCCCGUUACAGGCUUUGGCGAUCCAAGCGCAGGAUCCAUCUCCCCACUGCGUUACCCCUGCCCUCCGCCUCUUUGUUUAAUGGGGCCAGAUAUUUGAGGCGUUUUCUCCCUGUAUUUAUUUGAUAUUUGAUGCAUUUUCUCCAUUCAAGCAGGGAGCAGGCUCUGCACAAUGGCAAGGGUUGUUUACGAAGGGCCUCCUGGCAUCUGUGUUCAAAAGAUUAAAAAUGCGCAGACAGCAGGCUGAGAGGAGGGAAGGCCUGCCUUGGGGUCGGGCCCGGAGGAGGAAUCUGAGUGAGAGGCCAGUCUGGGGGCUCCUCAGGAGGCCAGCGGGAACGCCCUCAUGGUGCACCGGGGACCCGAGAUUCCAAACGCACCAGGGAUUCCCAAGCCUCAGAUGUGACACAUUGGCAGAGCAGCUAAGGGGCCAUCCGGCCUGGGCCAUUCCCAGGGUUGACAGAGGAUUCAUAACCCCCAGGGCACUCCCCACACCAUGUGACCGAGGACGCUUGGGUACAGAGAGGGAAUGGAGACACUUGACAGGCAUCAACUUAAUGAGCCCACAUUCGAACUCCAAACCUGCUCCUCCCAAUUCUUCCCAUGUCAGCCAUAGCGCCUCCGUCCUUCUAGCUGCUCAGGCCAAACCUUGGAGCUGUUCUUGACCCUUCUUUUUCUCUCACACCCCACACCCAAUCCCUUAGCAAAUCCAAGGGUCUGCUUUCAAAAUACACCCAAAUUCAGUCCUUGCUCAUCCUCUCCCUGCUCCCAGCGUGGCUGCGCUGUUAUCUCUGUCCUGCACUGUUGCCACAGCCCGCUGGCUGCCCUCCGUGCUCUGCCCUUGUUCCCCCAAGUCUAUUCCCAUGGCAGCAGCCAGGGUUAGCCUGCUAAAAUGUAACUCAACAUGUGCUCCAAACCCUGCAGUGGAUCCCAGCUCACUCACAACAUCCUGCAAGGCCCUCCCUGACCUGUCCGGUAAACUCCUUUCCUCCCUCUCUCUCCCCUCACUCACUGUGCGUUAGCCACACUGGGCUCUUUGUUGUCCCUUGAAAACACCAGCCAUGACCCCACCCCAGUGCCUUUGCACGUGCCGCUCCCUUUUCUUGGAAAGUUCUUCCCCAGAUAUUUGAGUGACUUGUCCUUGAGUCUCUUUCAAGUCCUUAGUGAAAUGUGUCCCCCUCAAAGAGGACUUUCCUGACUACUCUAUUAAAAUUGUAUCACCUCCCCCCCAACCCAAUCCUCUUCCCUGAUCUUUCUUACGGCACUUAGUGAUAUGGAUCUGACGUACUGUGUCUUUUACUCACCAUGUUUAUGUCUCUCUCUCCCCACUAGGAUGUGAGCCUUGAGUACAAGGACUUGGGUUUCCUUUAUUACUCUACUCUUGGCAACCAGAACAGAACCUCAUACCUAGGGCACGGCAAUAAAUUUUUGUUGCACCACCUUUUAUUUGCUUUCCCUCCUUCCUUGCCUCACUCUUGCUGCCCCAGGACAGCACCACCCCUAAUGAUGCGUAAGCACAUACGCUUUGACUCAGGCUCUGUUUUCUGGCGAACUCAGGCUAUUUCUAUAGUAGCUGGCAGCAGGUUGGACAGCUGGUAAGAGACAGAUCCGGGAUUCAAACCCAGGCAGGCGGUCUAACUCCAGACCGACACAGCUGCUGCUGCUGCUGCUGUUUCUUCUGGGAGCUUCACGUGCAAAGGCUCCAGGCAAGUUAAUAGUUAAGAAGGGUAUAUGCCCUACAAUUCCUAUAACCCCACAACCAGUUGGCUUCCCUGCUACCCUGGCAACAGUACUAUUUGUUGGGACAAAGGAAAGAGAGUGUAAUUUCUGGUCUGCAAAGACACAAACACACAUGGAAAUAAGAAUUAUCCAUGAGAUGGUCAGCUCAUGAAAUUUAUCCUCAAAAAUUUCUUAAGAAUACAUGUAAUUUUACAAGAUCAUUCGUCGUAGCACCAAGCCCAAUAUUCC